rnacentral:snRNA from 1 species
UUCGGCAUCACAUAUACAAAAAAAAAAAAAAAAAAGGAACGAUACAGAGAAGAUUAGCAUGGUCCCUAGGCAAGGAUGACAUGCAAAUUCGUGAAGUGUUUUUUU